rnacentral:rRNA from 1 species
UACGGGGGGGGCAAGCGUUGUUCGGAAUUACUGGGCGUAAAGGGCUCGUAGGUGGCCAACUAAGUCAGACGUGAAAUCCCUCGGCUUAACCGGGGAACUGCGUCUGAUACCGGAUGGCUUGAGUUCGGGAGAGGGAUGCGGAAUUCCAGGUGUAGCGGUGAAAUGCGUAGAUAUCUGGAGGAACACCGGUGGCGAAGGCGGCAUCCUGGACCGACACUGACGCUGAGGCGCGAAAGCCAGGGGAGCAAACGGG